UAAUUUUUGAAGUCUCACACA
rnacentral:piRNA from 1 species